CACUGCAUGGUCCUAGGAAUUACUAUUCAUAUCACAGCCUAGAUUUGUAUACUUAGAAAAGUUUAGUAAAUAAAAUCUAAGAGGAGCUUAGCUUUUUAUAAUUUACACAAAAACUCUAUAUGGCCUGAGGACAGCCUGGGUAGGAUUGGAGGAAGAUUUUGAAUGAGAUCUCUAAUUUGCAGAGAUUGAAUAAGGUGAGAAGAGGGGUCAGGGAUCUAGGGAUGCCUCUUCCUGGGAACCCAGAAAGCUUUUGUUUGCCAGGAUAAAUUAAAUGUUACCUCCCCUGCAGGGUGCCACAUGCUGCCUCUGUCUAACAGCUGAUUCAGGAUCCAGUGCUGGCAACAGAUGCUUCUCCAGCAGCCAUUGUGGAGGUGCAAAGGGAGGCAAGACUUUCUGGGCUGCUGUCCUUGCCCAGAGCACAGGGGACAGAGACAGGAAUGCGGCUGGGUUGGAGAACACAUCUUUCAAAAGUGGCAUCUUAAACACUUUUUGAUUGCAGACAUUACUGUUGGAUGAAGAUGAAAUCCAUGGGCACUCAUCAGGCUGGACAAGGUUUUGGCGCAUUAACAAAGGACCCCCAAACAUUAGUGAAUUGCUCACUCACACAGUGUUGUCUUUCAGGGGUGACUGUCUUCCACUUUGUGACCCAAGAUCCAGGCCAUUUCAGUCUCACAGCCGAACUUCUCAAUAUGUGUUUCCAUGACCCAUGCAGUGGAGGAAGGGAGUCGGAACAGGCCUCAAACUGGCAGGUGAAUACGUCAGCCAGGAAGUGACAGCUCUCACUUCGGCUGGUGACCAGUCACGUGGCUGGAAAAGCAGCAGAGCACCCUGCAACUCCAAAGCACAUAAGAAACUGCAGCCUCUCUGGACACUUGGAGCAGACGGCUCAGCAGGAUUGAUGAUCACACAGGACGUUCCCCAGACAGCUCCCUGCCUCCUCGAACGUGUCCUCCUGAUGGUGAACGGGAGCUCCUGAGAGAAGGGGCCCUCGGGGCAUCACCGGUGUAAUGUCAUCGUCCUGUCCUCUAUGCUGCAGGGCCUCAAUGAAGGCCUGGGGAUGAACAUGGCUACCUCAUCACGGCAAAGAGGUGUCCUGUUGGAAAUGUCCACAGCCAGUGGGAGCGAGAGCAGGGAGGCCUCCGACCACAGCGAGACCCUUGCGAUUUCCCUGGGCUGGUUCCCAACAAUAAAAGGAGUGAGUCAAGUCUGGGGACGACUCUGGCCCCAGGGAAGACCACUGGGCCGCUGUGGG